rnacentral:rRNA from 1 species
AUUGAACGCUGGCGGCGUGCUUAACACAUGCAAGUCGUGCGGUAACAGGCGUAGCAAUACGUGCUGACGAGCGGCGAACGGGUGCGUAAUACAUGGGAAUCUGGCCCUUUAGUGGGGAAUAACCCGGCGAAAGCCGGGCUAAUGCCGCAUAAGAUCUUCGGAUGAAAGCGGGGAUCGUAAGACCUCGCGCUGAUGGAUGAGCCCAUGUCGGAUUAGCAGUUGGUGAGGUAACGGCUCACCAAGGCGACGAUCCGUAGCUGGUCUGAGAGGACGGCCAGCCACACUGGGACUGAGACACGGCCCAGACUCCUACGGGAGGCAGCAGUGGGGAAUAUUGGACAAUGGGCGAAAGCCUGAUCCAGCGACGCCGCGUGUGU